rnacentral:rRNA from 1 species
AUUGGACGCUGGCGGCAGGCUUAACACAUGCAAGUCGAGCGGGGGAGGUUGCUUCGGUAACUGACCUAGCGGCGGACGGGUGAGUAAUACUUAGGAAUCUGCCUAUUAAUGGGGGACAACAUCUCGAAAGGUAUGCUAAUACCGCAUACGCCCUACGGGGGCAAGCAGGGGAUCACUUGUGACCUUGCGUUAAUAGAUGAGCCUAAGUCGGAUUAGCUAGUUGGUGGGGUAAAGGCCUACCAAGGCGACGAUCUGUAGCGGGUCUGAGAGGAUGAUCCGCCACACUGGGACUGAGACACGGCCCAGACUCCUACGGGAGGCAGCAGUGGGGAAUAUUGGACAGUGGGGGGAACCCUGAUCCAGCCAUGCCGCGUGUGUGAAGAAGGCCUUAUGGUUGUAAAGCACUUUAAGCGAGGAGGAGGCUCUUUUGGUUAAUACCCAAGAUGAGUGGACGUUACUCGCAGAAUAAGCACCGGCUAACUCUGUGCCAGCCGCCGCCGUAAUAC